rnacentral:rRNA from 1 species
UUCUCCGGAUGAGUUGCGAACGGGUGAGUAACGCGUAGGUAACCUGCCUGGUAGCGGGGGAUAACUAUUGGAAACGAUAGCUAAUACCGCAUAAGAGUAGAUGUUGCAUGACAUUUGCUUAAAAGGUGCAAUUGCAUCACUACCAGAUGGACCUGCGUUGUAUUAGCUAGUUGGUGGGGUAACGGCUCACCAAGGCGACGAUACAUAGCCGACCUGAGAGGGUGAUCGGCCACACUGGGACUGAGACACGGCCCAGACUCCUACGGGAGGCAGCAGUAGGGAAUCUUCGGCAAUGGACGGAAGUCUGACCGAGCAACGCCGCGUGAGUGAAGAAGGUUUUCGGAUCGUAAAGCUCUGUUGUAAGAGAAGAACGAGUGUGAGAGUGGAAAGUUCACACUGUGACGGUAUCUUACCAGAAAGGGACGGCUAACUACGUGCCAGCAGCCGCGGUAAUACGUAGGUCCCGAGCGUUGUCCGGAUUUAUUGGGCGUAAAGCGAGCGCAGGCGGUUAGAUAAGUCUGAAGUUAAAGGCUGUGGCUUAACCAUAGUACGCUUUGGAAACUGUUUAACUUGAGUGCAAGAGGGGAGAGUGGAAUUCCAUGUGUAGCGGUGAAAUGCGUAGAUAUAUGGAGGAACACCGGUGGCGAAAGCGG